rnacentral:rRNA from 1 species
UACGUAGGUGGCGAGCGUUAUCCGGAAUGAUUGGGCGUAAAGGGAGCGUAGACGGCAUGGCAAGUCAGAUGUGAAAGCCCGGGGCUCAACCCCGGGACUGCAUUUGAAACUGUCAGGCUGGAGUGCAGGAGAGGUAAGCGGAAUUCCUAGUGUAGCGGUGAAAUGCGUAGAUAUUAGGAGGAACACCAGUGGCGAAGGCGGCUUACUGGACUGUAACUGACGUUGAGGCUCGAAAGCGUGGGGAGCAAACAGG